CCGGCUCGGCAGGCGCCGGUUCGGAUGCUGCCGACCGGGAGAGCCCCGCUGCGCCGCCCGUGAGGCGCCGCCCGGCCCAGCCUGCCCCCGCCCUUCCCGGGAGGACCGGAGCGCCCGGGGGCCUCUCGCUCCCCCGCCCUGUCAGAUAUCUAUCAGUUCCAGAACUAAUAUUUGCUACAGCCAGAGACUGAAAUGGUAUGACUGGAGCUUUAAAUAAUUUGGCUUUGACAGCUCCAUCGUUUUCUGAGAACUUGGAACUGAAUUUGGGCUCUGCUUCUGCACUAUCCUAGGUUAUAAUGCCAUCCUUGCCUAAUGAGGGAGAUAACCAUGGAACUACUCCUCUGACCUUGAGUUCGGAACUACCCUAUCAAAGCACAAUUAAAAGGAAAGUCAGAAAGAAGAAGAAGAACGGAGUGAUCACUGCAAAUGUUGCUGGCACAAAAUAUGAAAUUGUACGUGUAGUAAUACGAGAAAUGGGAUUUGUGAAAACACGCGAUGAAGAUGAAACAGCUAAUCUUAUAUGGAGUGACUCUGCUGUGCAACAAGAAAAGAUUGCUGAACUUCAGAACUAUCAGAGAAUCAACCAUUUUCCAGGAAUGGGAGAGAUCUGCAGAAAGGAUUUUCUGGCAAGAAACAUGACCAAAAUGAUCAAGAGUCAACCUCAAGAGUAUAGUUUUAUUCCUCGAACAUGGAUCUUCCCUGCAGAAUACACACAGUUUCAGAACUAUGUAAAAGAACUGAAGAAGAAACGUAGACAGAAAACUUUCAUAGUAAAACCAGCUAAUGGUGCAAUGGGACAUGGGAUCUCUUUAAUAAGAAAUGGAGAAAAGUUACAAGCUCAGGAUCACUUGAUUGUUCAGGAAUAUCUUGACAAACCAUUUCUUAUGGAAGGCUACAAGUUUGAUUUACGUGUGUAUAUUCUUGUAACCUCUUGUGAUCCAUUAAAAGUAUUUUUAUAUCAUGAUGGACUGGUGAGAAUGGGCACAGAAAAGUAUCAUCCCCCCAGUGAUUCAAAUUUGAGUCAAUUGUAUAUGCAUCUGACUAACUACUCUGUCAAUAAACAUAAUGAACACUUUGAACGGGAUGAAACAGAAGACAAAGGCAGCAAACGCUCCAUAAAAUGGUUUACUGAGUUUCUAGAAACAAACAAUCUUGAUGUCUCGAAAUUCUGGAGUGAUAUUUCAGAGUUAGUAGUGAAGACUCUCAUAGUUGCAGAGCCACAUGUUCUUCAUGCUUAUCGCAUGUGCAGGCCAGGGCAAGCACCUGGAAGUGACAGUGUCUGCUUUGAAGUCCUGGGAUUUGAUAUUCUGCUGGACAGAAAACUAAAACCAUGGCUCCUAGAGAUUAAUCGUGCCCCAAGCUUUGGAACUGAUCAAAAAAUAGACUAUGAUGUUAAAAAAGGUGUUCUGCUAAAUGCAUUAAAGCUUCUCAACAUACGGACAAGUGAUAAAAGGAGAAAUUUAGCUCAACAGAAGGCUGAAGCUCAAAAAAGACUCUAUGGUCAAGGUUCAAUGAAAAAACUGUUGCCAGGUUCUUCAGAGUGGGAGAAGCAGCGCCACACACUGGAAAGGAGAAAAGAAGAACUGAAGGAAAGACUUGCACAAGUACGUAAACAGAUUUCCAAAGAGGAGCAUGAAAACAGACACAUGGGUAACUACAGGCGAAUAUACCCUCCUGAUGAUAAGACAUUACUUGAAAAGUACGAGAGUUUGUUAGCCACUGCUUUUCAGACGUUUCUUGCUGGGAGAGCAGCUUCACUUCAGCGGGAAAUGAAUAACCCUUUAAAAAGAAUGAAGGAGGAGGACAUUUUGGAUCUUCUGGAGCAGUGUGAAAUAGAUGAUGAAAAACUAAUGGGGAAGUGCACCAGGCAGCGAGGACCUAAGCCCUUAUGUUCGAUGCCAGAAAUUGCACAGCCCUCAAGAAAAUUUAAGAACUACAGUAGUGAUAGUAGCUGCGAGAGCGAUAGCAGUGUGUCAGAAUCAGGCGAAGAAACUGAAAAGGAAGAUCACAAUGGAAAAAAAGAGAAAAAAGUUUCAUAUGAUCUUGAAGAAAAUAAAUGCAAAUCUUUGGAACGAUCAGGUAGAAUGAACUGGAAAUCUUCGAUUAAAAAUAUAAAAUCUCCAUCAUAUUCACCCCCCGCAUCAUCCACAGGUCCAAUAAGGCGUUCUGUAAGCUGCCCUCGUUCAAUAUCAGUAUUGACUAUGCAGUCACAGGCAGCUGAGCAGCGUCCCUUUUCAGCCAAAGCAUCUCUGCAACUUCAGCGUGCAUCCUCAGUGAACAGGUCUCAUUCUUUAAAUCGCAGCCCAUCUUCAGCUCGAGUCUCUCAGACACCCAGCUCGGGAGCUAUGAACUCUUCGGGGUCAGCAAAUAGAAUUGGAAAGACAUUAAGAUUGUGUCUUCACCACAACGUGUUAAAGAGUGAGUCUUUGCUGCAACAGAAAACAAAAGAGCAAGAAGUCGCUUUGACGAAAGAGACUCUUCUCAUCAUCAAUGACAUGAGAAUGAAGUUCCCAGGAAAAACAGAUGAAGAAUCAGAAUUAAUUAUAGAAGAUAUUAUGGAUAAUUGGAAGUAUCAUAAGACAAAAGUGGCAUCCUAUUGGUUGGUAAAACUGGAUUCUGUAAAGCAACGAAAAGUUUUGGAUAUAGUCAAGACAAGUGUUCGUGCAGUUCUACAGCAUGUCUGGAAGGCUCCAGACAUUGAAAAUUUACAUUUAUACCGUCUCUUUAACCGUGUAUUUAAUCGCUUACUUUGGAGCCAUGGUCAAGGUCUAUGGAACUGUUUCUGUAAUUCAGGGAGCUCUUGGGAAACCAUAUUCAGUAAAAGCACAGAGGUGGUGACUCCUGAGCAACUCCAGUGUUGCCAACGAGUAGUACAACUUUGUAAACACUGCCUGCUGGUGGUUUAUAAAUAUUCAUCAGACUCAAGAGGAUCCCCAACUGGGAUUAGCACCCACUGGGAUGAUACGAGAUCCCUCAAAGUCACUGAUACCAGAUUUGCAUUCUUAGAGGUAUCCUAACAUGUUUGAUACUUCUGGCUUCACAUUGGCAGUGGAAUGCUAUAGGGGCACAGCUCCAGCCAAGGGUCAGGUAUUUAUUGCCAGGACCUUCACCGUUCAUCAUGAAACCAUCCUCAUCCAGCCUUAGCUGCAGUUCAUCUGGAAUGCCUCGUCCUAACAUUUUGUUCACACACAGAUAUAGUCACUUGUGAAGCAAAAUAAAAGUUGCUGUUCUUUGUAAAUAAUGGCACUCAUUUUUUUUCCAAAUUAAAAUUUGUGAUGGAGCUAAAUAUAAGCACUGUUAUAUAUUUACUACCAUAUUAUGAUAACAUUUAGCUGAAAACCUACUGUAAAAGCAUAGCUUUUCUGGAAACAUAAUAAACCUUGUUAAGUUGUUUACACACACAGGUGAAUGUGUAGAUCUUGCUAGGUUUAUAAGUAAUUCCUUCUUACUAGAAAUGUUAUUUUUGCUGCAGAAUAUGUAAAAUGGAAUUGAUCUUGAAGAUCUUAUUACAGUGUUACAUUAUUUUGUAAGUACAAUACUUUGAAUAUUAUUUAUUGUAAAGUAUACUAUUUAUUGUCUGAAAUGUAAUUGAUCCUUUAACAAGGCAGAUGAUUUAAAAAACUGUAGUAGAACAGUAAAACUGUAACAGUCAUUGAAAAUAAUCUGAUCAUUUCUUGGACAUGUUUAAAAUAAUCCCCAAAACUCUUUAAGCCAAGCCAAGCCUAGAGCAGACAUCUCCUCUGAAAUUGAAAGAUCUUUAAUGCUGCUAUUUCUCUUGGAGGACAUGGUAUAGUAUCUUUUAGCCAAAGUGAAGGCAUGUGGUACACAAACAGUAAAAACAUCAGUUUAGGCAUUCCAUUUCUAAUUGGAUUCUUGUAAUAAAAUGGAAGCCGAUGUUUGUCACGAGAUUUUCAUUCAUGUUACCUAUGGCCUGUGCCUUUAGGUUUCCUUUGGGAGCAAGCAGUCAUCUCCAACUCGCACAAGCAUACAAAGUGCAUAGUUUUUCUGUUUUACUGCACAAGUGGUAAAGCAGACAUUUUUAGGAAAUACUGCAGCUACAAUGUAUUAUUUCAACCUUAAACUAAUUGGUUCAUUGUAGUUUUUAGCAUACAAUCUAGCACCUACUGUAGAAUGUAUCCUUGCAAUGGACAGUAUUUUCUAGACUGCUGACACCUUUAAAUGUUGGAAAUUUAAUUAAUCAGAAAGCUCUCAUUCAGAUUCAGCUUCCUGGGCCUGGCUGAACAACACAAAAAGGAAACAAGCCAGAGCAGAAACCUGGAAUUAACCUGAAAACAUCAUUCAGGCUUUGCAACCCAUUCAUCCCACUCAGCAUUUUGCCAUGUGAGCCUUAUUCAUUAUAGAAACAAUUAUUAAAAUUAAAAUCAGUUAAUCUAGAUUUAAAAAUGAAGUAAGUUUUUUAACUGAGUAAAGGACAGAGUAGUUAUUAUUUACCAAAGACUUGUUUACUUACCCGUCAUGUAACCAGGAAAAGUGUUUGUAAAUUACCAGUAUAUUUCAGGUAUACUUAAAAAAAUAAUCUGAGGGCUAAUUAUCCUCAGGAGCAAGUAUGUUAGAGGUUUUUGAUAUCCAGAGAUUUAAGAAAAAUUUAAGAGAUGUAAGAAAUUUGAGAAUGAAGUUGUCUGGAAAUUAUUUUUUUUUUUUUUAAUUUUAGUCAUAGUAUAUAUAAAGCUGGGAAUUUUGGUGAGAUUUUUUUGAUGCCUGUGCUGUAGUGCCUCAGCUCUAGAACUGCAGGAUAUAUGAUAACGAGACUAUUUGUAAAAAAUUGAAAAAACUUCUUGAGAUUAGCCAGAUAUAAGCUGUCUUCUGGUCUGGUAAAGUCUUUUUCAUUUUUGUGGUAAUACUAGUUCAGUAAUAUAGUAUAUUCACAUUAAUUGUAUACCUCUUUUGAUCCACACAGCAACUACUGAUAAAGCAUACUACGGUUAUCUGUAAGACCUAAUAAAAGCUGUAAAUUCUCUCUACCUGGGGGAGGCUUCCAUUGCAUUCUGCUUUUGGCCAUAAGGUUAACACCAGCUUCCAGCUUAGCUUGCCAGAGUUUAGGAUAAGUACGUUCACAUGCCUUUUUUUUUUUUUCUUACCCUUUCCUUCUUCUUUUAACUACGUUAUGAUCUCUGUUCUCAGAAGCCAGUGCUGGGACAGGUCAAUCUGUAUAGAAUACUCCGCCAGCAAAACGAGGGCUGCUAACUGUACCUAUGUGGUGUGGACAGAUCUAGGAGAAAAAUACAUUUAGCAUGUACAAAAGUGGACCAGAUAGUUGGUUUACAUCUGAAGCUACUUAAUAUAUUCAUAUUUCUGAUAACCUUUCCUAAAGUGCUACUGUAUUCCUAAUAAUGUGUGAAUCAAUACUUUCAAUAAACGUGAUGCUGCACUUUCCUGCCAGCUCCUCUGAA